GUGUGUGUUGAGCUGGUGGUACAGUGAGUGGAUCAGAUACAGCAGUGAUUAGCAGUGAUUAGCAUGGUGGUGGUGUAUGAGGUGUUAGUGAGUGUUGAGCUGGUACAGUGAGUGGAUCAGAUACAGCAGUGAUUAGCAUGGUGGUGGUGUAUGAGGUGUUAGUGUGUGUUGAGCUGGUGGUACAGUGAGUGGAUCAGAUACAGCAGUGAUUAGCAUGGUGGUGGUGUAUGAGGUGUUAGUGAGUGUUGAGCUGGUGGUACAGUGAGUGGAUCAGAUACAGCAGUGAUUAGCAGUGAUUAGCAUGGUGGUGGUGUAUGAGGUGUUAGUGAGUGUUGAGCUGGUACAGUGAGUGGAUCAGAUACAGCAGUGAUUAGCAUGGUGGUGGUGUAUGAGGUGUUAGUGAGUGUUGAGCUGGUGGUACAGUGAGUGGAUCAGAUACAGCAGUGAUUAGCAGUGAUUAGCAUGGUGGUGGUGUAUGAGGUGUUAGUGUGUGUUGAGCUGGUGGUACAGUGAGUGGAUCAGAUACAGCAGUGAUUAGCAGUGAUUAGCAUGGUGGGGGUGUAUGAGGUGUUAGUGAGUGUUGAGCUGGUGGUACAGUGAGUGGAUCAGAUACAGCAGUGAUUAGCAGUGAUUAGCAUGGUGGGGGUGUAUGAGGUGUUAGUGUGUGUUGAGCUGGUGGUACAGUGAGUGGAUCAGAUACAGCAGUGAUUAGCAGUGAUUAGCAUGGUGGUGGUGUAUGAGGUGUUAGUGAGUGUUCAGCUGGUGGUACAGUGAGUGGAUCAGAUACAGCAGUGAUUAGCAUGGUGGUGGUGUAUGAGGUGUUAGUGAGUGUUGAGCUGGUACAGUGAGUGGAUCAGAUACAGCAGUGAUUAGCAUGGUGGUGGUGUAUGAGGUGUUGGUGAGUGUUGAGCUGGUGGUACAGUGAGUGGAUCAGAUACAGCAGUGAUUAGCAGUGAUUAGCAUGGUGGUGGUGUAUGAGGUGUUAGUGAGUGUUGAGCUGGUACAGUGAGUGGAUCAGAUACAGCAGUGAUUAGCAGUGAUUAGCAUGGUGGUGGUGUAUGAGGUGUUAGUGAGUGUUGAGCUGGUGGUACAGUGAGUGGAUCAGAUACAGCAGUGAUUAGCAGUGAUUAGCAUGGUGGUGGUGUAUGAGGUGUUAGUGUGUGUUGAGCUGGUACAGUGAGUGGAUCAGAUACAGCAGUGAUUAGCAUGGUGGUGGUGUAUGAGGUGUUAGUGAGUGUUGAGCUGGUGGUACAGUGAGUGGAUCAGAUACAGCAGUGAUUAGCAGUGAUUAGCAUGGUGGUGGUGUAUGAGGUGUUAGUGAGUGUUGAGCUGGUACAGUGAGUGGAUCAGAUACAGCAGUGAUUAGCAGUGAUUAGCAUGGUGGUGGUGUAUGAGGUGUUAGUGAGUGUUGAGCUGGUGGUACAGUGAGUGGAUCAGAUACAGCAGUGAUUAGCAGUGAUUAGCAUGGUGGUGGUGUAUGAGGUGUUAGUGUGUGUUGAGCUGGUACAGUGAGUGGAUCAGAUACAGCAGUGAUUAGCAUGGUGGUGGUGUAUGAGGUGUUAGUGAGUGUUGAGCUGGUGGUACAGUGAGUGGAUCAGAUACAGCAGUGAUUAGCAGUGAUUAGCAUGGUGGUGGUGUAUGAGGUGUUAGUGAGUGUUGAGCUGGUACAGUGAGUGGAUCAGAUACAGCA